AAGUUGGGGAUAACUCCGGGAAACCGGGGCUAAUACCGAAUGAUAGAAUGUGGCGCAUGCCACGCUUUUGAAAGAUGGUUUCGGCUAUCGCUUACAGAUGGGCCCGCGGUGCAUUAGCUAGUUGGUAGGGUAAUGGCCUACCAAGGCAACGAUGCAUAGCCGACCUGAGAGGGUGAUCGGCCACACUGGGACUGAGACACGGCCCAGACUCCUACGGGAGGCAGCAGUAGGGAAUCUUCCGCAAUGGACGAAAGUCUGACGGAGCAACGCCGCGUGUAUGAAGAAGGUUUUCGGAUCGUAAAGUACUGUUGUUAGAGAAGAACAAGGAUAAGAGUAACUGCUUGUCCCUUGACGGUAUCUAACCAGAAAGCCACGGCUAACUACGUGCCAGCAGCCGCGGUAAUACGUAGGUGGCAAGCGUUGUCCGGAUUUAUUGGGCGUAAAGCGCGCGCAGGCGGUCUUUUAAGUCUGAUGUGAAAGCCCCCGGCUUAACCGGGGAGGGUCAUUGGAAACUGGAAGACUGGAGUGCAGAAGAGGAGAGUGGAAUUCCACGUGUAGCGGUGAAAUGCGUAGAUAUGUGGAGGAACACCAGUGGCGAAGGCGACUCUCUGGUCUGUAACUGACGCUGAGGCGCGAAAGCGUGGGGAGCAAACAGGAUU
rnacentral:rRNA from 1 species